AGCCCGGUCGUCUAAAGGCAGGACAGCUGGUUUUGGUCCAGUCAGUGGGGGUUCGAAUCCUCCCCGGGCUA
rnacentral:tRNA from 1 species